CGUAAAGAGCUCGUAGGUGGUUUGUCGCGUUGUUCGUGAAAUCUCACGGCUUAACUGUGAGCGUGCGGGCGAUACGGGCAGACUUGAGUACUGCAGGGGAGACUGGAAUUCCUGGUGUAGCGGUGGAAUGCGCAGAUAUCAGGAGGAACACCGGUGGCGAAGGCGGGUCUCUGGGCAGUAACUGACGCUGAGGAGCGAAAGCGUGGGGAGCGAACAGGAUUAGAUACCCUGGUAGUCCACGCCGUAAACGGUGGGUACUAGGUGUGGGUCUCCUUCCUUGGGAUCCGUGCCGUAGCUAACGCAUUAAGUACCCCGCCUGGGGAGUACGGCCGCAAGGCUAAAACUCAAAGAAAUUGACGGGGGCCCGCACAAGCGGCGGAGCAUGUGGAUUAAUUCGAUGCAACGCGAAGAACCUUACCUGGGUUUGACAUGCACAGGACGCCGGCAGAGAUGUCGGUUCCCUUGUGGCCUGUGUGCAGGUGGUGCAUGGCUGUCGUCAGCCCGUGUCGUGAGAUGUUGGGUUAAGUCCCGCAACGAGCGCAACCCUUGUCUCAUGUUGCCAGCGGGUAAUGCCGGGGACUCGUGAGAGACUGCCGGGGUCAACUCGGAGGAAGGUGGGGAUGACGUCAAGUCAUCAUGCCCCUUAUGUCCAGGGCUUCACACAUGCUACAAUGGCCGGUACAAAGGGCUGCGAUGCCGCGAGGUUAAGCGAAUCCUUUUAAAGCCGGUCUCAGUUCGGAUCGGGGUCUGCAACUCGACCCCGUGAAGUCGGAGUCGCUAGUAAUC
rnacentral:rRNA from 1 species